UCUAAACACAGUGAAUUGUAACCCAACUUGAUGUGUAAACAUACUCUUCUAACAAGCAAUGAGUCUCAGCCAGUCACAGGAGCCAAAUUUCAGUCAACCACAGGCAGUCAGAUGUUCAAACCAGGUCAAAUAAGCCCAAGAUUAUGUGCACAUUGUUUUCUGAGGCCUGAUGACUUCAAUACUCCUUCUGGCUGGGGUGGCCUCCUUAUUUAAUCCAUUCCAAAUAGCAAAGGGAGUUCACCUCUUCUCCACGGAAUGAGCAUGGUCCUUGUCCUUUAUUAUUUGGUUUCUAUCUCCUAACGAAUGACAUUAAAUGUUCCCCCAUUCAAAACAUAUUGUGGGCCUUGUGGUGUUCUGGUCACUGCUGCCCUCCCAAUGCAACACAUGAGCCCUCAGGAUGAGCCCUACAGAGUUUUAUCCUUGUGGGUAAGAUGUGUACUUGGGAAUGAAGAUAAAGUCAUGGCUGAUUUCCCCAACCUUUUGUCGAGAAGAACUCCAAUUGUAACUUUGAGAGUUUUGGGCAAAAGGAACCAAAUUGACUCAUGCCACAUACCUAUGGUCACUUCUCAGUACUCUUUGGAUGCCUUUAUCAGGAAAGCCCGAAUUAACACUACAGAAGAAACCAUGAGGAUGAAUAAGCAUACACACAGACACACAAACACACACGCCCCAUUCACACUCAAAUGGGAAUCUCUGGUAGACUCAAAGAAUACAGCUAAUUUGCCAUUUCAGAGUGAAAAGCCUGCCCUGUCUCACCCUGCCCCCAAAGACUAACCUAACCUACUUUAACUGGUAUGGGUAAAAACCAAUUCUGCAAUUCCUAUAUGUACACAUUAAAGGAAUCAAACGGCUCCCUUUAACAUGUACAUAUAGUUCUAAGGCAAUGCAGGUAACACUAACUUGGUUUCAAGAGCAUUGUCAAAACUGGGGCACAUAUAUUCCUAUUAGAGAUGGCUGGGAGACAGUUGAGAAUAAAUUUAUGGAAUUACAAAUUAUGGGAAUACUAGACUAAGCCAUGAAUGGUUAACAUGUAGCCAUUUUUGCCAGCUAUUCUAAGUCCCUUCACACAUAAACUUGACCCUGCAUUCCAGGAGAGGUCCCUCUGGGUUGUGUCACUACAGAGUAAGGCUAAGGCUGGGGUCCUGCCAACCUACCUUUCUUUUAGUACGUAAUAGGGAAGUGAGCCAUUUUUUUCUUUUCUUUUCUUUUCUUUUUUUUUUUUUUUUUUGAGACAGGGUCUGGCUCUAUUGCAUCCAGGCUAGAGUGCAGUGACACAAUCUUGGCUUACUGCAACCUCCCAUGCUCAAGCCAUCCUCCUAUCUAAGCCUCCCAAGAAGCUAGGACUACAGGUAUCCACUACCAUGCCUGACUAAUUUUUGUAUUUGUUGUACAGACAGGGUUUUGGCACAUUGCCCAGGCUGGUCUGGAACCAGUGAGCUCAAGCGAUCUGCCCACCUCAACCUCCCAAAGUGCUGGGAUUAUAGGUGUGAGCCACCACACCCCACCCAUUUCAUUCUUAUUGGUGAGAUUGUCACAGACUUGGCUGAAAUUUAAGAAGAAACUGUUUACAGCAACAAAGGAUGCAAUUAAAGUUUACAUGAUCAUUCAACUGUGCAUUUCAUCAUGCACUUAUUGAUAUGCUCAAAAAAGCGGAAUGUCAAGUAAGGAAAUGAAGUGAGAACAGGAACAAGGGAGGUAAGCCAGGAAGACUUCCAGGAACUUGAACAAAAACAAUUCCCAACCACAUACUACUUUUUAUUUUCAAGCAUUUUGAAACUCUUCUUUUCCUUUAGUGAUGUUUCCAGUAACAAAUCUGCAAGUGUUCUUGGUGGUUAAAAACAAAACAAAACUACAAGUAUCAGUUAAGAAAGACAAAGAAAAGACUAAGAAUUUAAAUUAGAUGAUCCCAUUUAAAGUUUUCAGUGUUUACUUCUUUAGAUGGUAUAGGAACAUUAGAACUCAGAGGUGGUUUGGACAUUAACAAAGUACUCCUGCCUCCUCAGAAGCUACAGUCUUUUCUGCAGUUCCCUUAUGUACCUUUCAUCAAAAUAAUUUGGGUUCCAGAUUUCUCAGAUAAAACCACAUCUGUGAGACCAGCAACCAUUUCACAGUUGACUGGUAUGUGUUCUCCAAUUUCAGUUCCAAACACACAACAGAUAAUCACACUUUUCUUUAUUAAAGGGACUCAAAUGAUUUUAAGCUGUAUUCUUCCUGCUAGAGAAUGAACUGAGUAGCAUCCUUCUCUCAUUUUCUAUAAUAAAAUUUCCUAUGUGAUAUACUGCACACACAUUAUAUCUGAUAUAUGUUUUGAUUCUUUUAGGGAAGCAAAUAUAGAAUUUCCAUUGUCAGAUUAUUCUUCUGAUUCCAUGAUGCAUUAGUGAAAUGUCCACCAAGUAGUUGGAAACACUGAUGUACAUGUAUUCUAAAACUUACUAAAUAAUGGGCCAGUAAGAUACUGGUAUCUUUUUAGAACAUUUAGAAAGAGAUCUUAGUUGCAUGAGAAAACUCGGAUACAACAUGGGCCUGUAAACACAUACAUUCUAGUAUACACAUAUGAGACUUUUCAACUCAAUAAUAAGUGGACCCAAAACAAAAUAGGGUGUAUGACCCAGACUCCCUACAUGCUGCCCAGCAGCUGCUUCAGCAUCAAAUUGUGUUCGUCCCAUUUUCUAAUCUAACCAAGCACUUGGAGCUAAAGGGCUGUAUGUAAGUCCAAGAAACGAAUAUAUUAAAUAUUUUUCACCACAUAUGACAUCAUUAAUUCAAUAGUUCCUGUUAAUCAAUUAAUGUGGAUUCUUUCAGGGUUCAUCAAUGCAUGUGUGGCUCAAUGCUUUAUGAAUAAAUAUAUUCUGGCUCAUUGCUUUCCACUGAAAUGAAAGGACACAAGCUCUAUAUUCCCUAACAAAUGUGUAAAGCAAAAACACAACAAA